AUCUGUGAAUCCGAUAAUGGAUGCGUGGCUUAGAGAAGCUGAAGAAGCCUCACAGUGGGUAGAAGACUUAGAGAGCAAGGCUUUGAAUUCCAGUGUUAGUGUUAGCAUUAUACACUCUGCUCGAUCCAAAUUAUUGGAGCUUGGAGCCAAACUCGAUCGCCUUGAAUCGCUUCUGCGCAAUCCACCCCCCAAACCCAUCCUCCAAUUUACAGAACAGAUGAAGAUCUGGAUUUCCGUUGGACACUGUUUUCUGAUAUUCAGCUAAGAACCAGAACUUUGGCUCGCUCCAUUUAUGCAUUACCAUGCCCAAACCCAAACAGGCCAAGAAAUGUUUCUGCUACUGGAAGUAAAGAAUUCAAUGUCAGAAUUGACUAUUAUGACCAAGAUCUGUUGCAAACCUCCUACUCCCAAGGUCAAUCAGAGUUGCCCAAACCUCUUCUGUCAGAUGAGGCGAACAGAAUUCAGGUUCAACCAUUAAGUUUUAUCUCAAAGAUUUCCCUGUGGAAGGCUUGUUCUACUAUCUUAUUCUUCUUGGGACUGGCUGCACUUAUAUCCUUUGUUGUUCUUCUCUGCGCAGCCAUCUACCAUUCUACAAAUUGAAGGAUUAGAUCCUUUUCUGCUUUGAUCUGACGAUUCAAAACACCCGAAGAAGAAUCAUAAUGGUUGUUCGUAAACAUAUGUACAAAUAUUCCACAAACUUGGUUAUGUACAUAUAAUUUUUCAACAUAAUGGAUUUUAAAAGGAAAGGAAGACUCCUCAUGGGUGGGAUUACAUGUUUAGGCUUGCUUUGUUUAUUCAUGAGAACCAAAUUUACACCAUUAUAAUGGCAAAAAGUCACGGUUGGAAG